rnacentral:rRNA from 1 species
GACGUAGGGGGCAAGCGUUGUCCGGAAUCAUUGGGCGUAAAGGGCGUGUAGGUGGGAGAAGAAGUCAGGAGUGCAAGCCUCGUGCUCAACAGGAGGAAGCAACUGAAACUGAUCACCUAGAGUACAGGAGAGGGAAGUGGAAUUCCCGGAGUAGCGGUGGAAUGCGUAGAGAUCGGGAGGAACACCAGUGGCGAAAGCGACUUUCUGGCCUGGUACAGACACUGAGGCGAGAGAGCGUGGGUAGCAAACAGG